CAGAGGUCCCAAGCGUUGUUCGGAUUCACUGGGCGUAAAGGGUGCGCAGGUGGGUUGGCAAGUUCGAUGUGAAAGCCCCGGGCUUAACCCGGGAAUGGCAUUGGAAACUGCUGAUCUGGAGGAUCGGAGGGGGGACUGGAAUUCUUGGUGUAGCAGUGAAAUGCGUAGAUAUCAAGAGGAACACCAGUGGCGAAGGCGAGUCCCUGGACGAUACCUGACACUGAGGCACGAAAGCCAAGGGAGCAAACAGGAUUAGAUACCCUGGUAGUCUUGGCUGUAAACGGUGCGCAUUUGCUGUAAACGGAAUCGACCCCGUUUGUGGCGAAGCUAACGCGAUAAAUGCGCCGCCUGGGAAGUACGGUCGCAAGAUUA
rnacentral:rRNA from 1 species